UACGGAGGGUCCGAGCGUUAAUCGGAAUUACUGGGCGUAAAGCGCGCGUAGGUGGUUCAGUCAGUCAGAUGUGAAAGCCCCCGGGCUCAACCUGGGAACUGCACCUGAUACUGCUGAGCUAGAGUACGGUAGAGGGUAGUGGAAUUUCCGGUGUAGCGGUGAAAUGCGUAGAGAUCGGAAGGAACACCAGUGGCGAAGGCGACUACCUGGACCGAUACUGACACUGAGGUGCGAAAGCGUGGGUAGCAAACAGGAUUAGAUACCCGGGUAGUU
rnacentral:rRNA from 1 species